GGCUGUGAGUCCAUCGCUGAGAAAAGGGAGCUGGAGGACCAGUGUGGAGCCUGAGCCAGCUGGAGAGGGGCCCGGUAGGAUGUGAGCAGCAACUGUUUGGGCUGGUGGCACAGAGGUAAAAGAACUUACCAAGACAGCUGUGGGUGAAGAAAGGCAGAUUUAUUAAAGACAGUAUCAAAGUAUGUUAUCAGGGAGCAACAGGCAGAAUCAGUGGAAGAGGAGCUGACUGCAAGGAAACAAAGGCUUGCUGGAGAUUUUAUAGGAUGGUUCCUGGGCUGAUUGAUAAUGCCAAGGCAGCAGGGAGCUGACCUGCAUUCUUCUGUCACCCGAGGUGUUUGAUGAUAAGUGGAUGCGUGCGUUUGAUGAUAAGCAGGAAGUUUGUGAGUUACGUUCAUUAUUUGCUCGGCAGGGCUGUAUGUCCUGGGUCAUAAAGAAAAGCAAGCCUAUAGCUUAUCUGCUUCCUUUUUUUGUUUAUAUAUCCUGGACCAUGAAGAAAAUGCAGAUCUAUAGCUUAUUUGCUUUAUCUCUUUGCUUUCCCCUGGUCCCACCAGCCUGACUCCUUUUCCCUACGUACGAAUCCACAUUCUUCCUAAACAGGUAAUCAGCAGACGUAUGUCUACCUAGC
rnacentral:lncRNA from 1 species